UACGAAGGGGGCUAGCGUUGCUCGGAAUUACUGGGCGUAAAGGGCGCGUAGGCGGACAGUUUAGUCAGAGGUGAAAGCCCAGGGCUCAACCUUGGAAUAGCCUUUGAUACUGACUGUCUUGAGUACGGGAGAGGUGUGUGGAACUCCGAGUGUAGAGGUGAAAUUCGUAGAUAUUCGGAAGAACACCAGUGGCGAAGGCGACACACUGGCCCGUUACUGACGCUGAGGCGCGAAAGCGUGGGGAGCAAACAGGAUUAGAUACCCGGGUAGUCC
rnacentral:rRNA from 1 species